GUAUCACUUGACCCACCCGUUAUUUUCACGAGCUGGCCGAAUACGGGUAAUUAUUAUCGUAUCCACCCGUGCGGGUAUGAGUCCAGUUUGCCAGGUUACUCUAGGCAUGCAGGAGUUGAAAGAGAUUGGAAUUAGAAAUAAAAAUCUAGGACUUUAAGUGUGCCACGACAGGGGGCUAUCCUCUAUCUUGCCACCUUCGAACGCAAGAGCUUUUCCCACGCGUCGUAGCCAAAUGGUCCUCAUGUUACUUGGCCAAGGUAUAAGUCCAAGGUUCAAGUCAUGGGGGAGGCGUUCGCAGGGUAGAAAAAAAUACCAUGAAGCGAAGCAAAGCCAUGAGGGUCCGAAGGAGGCGUGGCCAGAAGGACCCAUAGUGGACAAUACCUUGGACGUGUCCGGCGUGCGAGGAAAGCCCUUGAGCCAAAGUGGCGAGAUAGAUGAUAGCCCUCGGUCGUGACAAAGUGGUUUUAUACUUUUAUUUUAUUGAAACAUGUCUAGGCUUGCUCAAUAUAAAUUCUUUUUUAUAUUUUAAUAGAAGACCAAAUUUAUGCUUUCUUGAUUAA